GGGGAUGUCCGGUUUCGACGGGGGCUGUAGACAUUCCGGGAGCCAUCCGCAGGCCAGACUGCGUCAUCAACCGGACCUAAAUAUAAACGCUAACGACAAUUACAACGAGUUAUCGUUCGCAGCCUGAUGGCUGUCAUCCGCUUUAAGGUUCCUGCGCCUUAAAAUCCGGGUGUCAUAGAAGGCAGGGAACUUUCCGUCCUAAGCUUUGCGGGCGGAUCAGAUCUAUGAAGCUACCAAGAUUUCUAUCCUGUCGAUGGGAGAGGAAUUAAGGGAAGUCUAAUACAUCGACUAUGAUGGUAGCCGGCCUGGGAUCGAAGGGCUUUCGGACAGGAGUUCGAUUCUCCUCAUUUCCACCA
rnacentral:tmRNA from 1 species